AUGGGGACGCUACCGCUCGUGGACCUGGUUUCUUCGGGCAAGCGAACUAUAGAAGAUGGUGCAUCCUCGGGUACGGCAGAGUCAGAUCUGGCAGCGAUGAUGGAAGAGUUGGGCUUGAAGGAAGAUGAUCUCCAGGAUGUCGUGGUGGAGGACGAUGAACUCCCGAAAGAAGCGACUCGUUGGAUGGCCCUGGCUAGGGUUCACACUGAAAAGUCCUAUAGCCAGAAUUGGUUCUACAAGAAUAUGAGAGUUGCAUGGGAUCUGGCAAAGGAAGUGAAAAUCAGACCGCUGGAGGAGAACUUGUAUACAUUGCAGUUUGCGUGCCUCAGCGAUUGGGAACGCGUUAUGGAGGAGGGCCCGUGGACUUUCAAAGGGAAAGCGGUGAUCGUGGCACCCUAUGAUGGUUUCACUAAACCCUCGUUGAUAGAUCUCACCAAGCUAGACAUAUGGAUG
rnacentral:rRNA from 1 species